CAGUCGAGGGGCAGCAUGGUCUUAGCUUGCUAAGGCUGAUGGCGACCGGCGCACGGGUGAGUAACACGUAUCCAACCUGCCGUCUACUCUUGGCCAGCCUUCUGAAAGGAAGAUUAAUCCAGGAUGGGAUCAUGAGUUCACAUGUCCGCAUGAUUAAAGGUAUUUUCCGGUAGACGAUGGGGAUGCGUUCCAUUAGAUAGUAGGCGGGGUAACGGCCCACCUAGUCAACGAUGGAUAGGGGUUCUGAGAGGAAGGUCCCCCACAUUGGAACUGAGACACGGUCCAAACUCCUACGGGAGGCAGCAGUGAGGAAUAUUGGUCAAUGGGCGAUGGCCUGAACCAGCCAAGUAGCGUGAAGGAUGACUGCCCUAUGGGUUGUAAACUUCUUUUAUAAAGGAAUAAAGUCGGGUAUGCAUACCCGUUUG
rnacentral:rRNA from 1 species